UACGAAGGGGGCCAGCGUUGUCCGGAAUCACUGGGCGUAAAGCGCACGCAGGCGGAUCGAUAAGUCGGGGGUGAAAGCCCGGGGCUCAACCUCGGAAUUGCCUUCGAUACUGUCGGUCUCGCGGCCGGGAGAGGUGAGUGGAAUUCCUAGUGUAGGGGUGAAAUUCGUAGAUAUUAGGAAGAACACCAGUGGCGAAGGCGGCUCACUGGCCCGGUACUGACGCUCAGGUGCGAAAGCGUGGGGAGCAAGCAGG
rnacentral:rRNA from 1 species